rnacentral:rRNA from 1 species
CUGUCGUCAGCUCGUGUCGUGAGAUGUUGGGUUAAGUCCCGCAACGAGCGCAACCCCUAUUGCUAGUUGCCAUCAUUUAGUUGGGCACUCUAGUGAGACUGCCGGUGUCAAACCGGAGGAAGGUGGGGAUGACGUCAAGUCCUCAUGGCCCUUAUGUCCAGGGCUACACACGUGCUACAAUGGCCGGUACAAAGAGUUGCGAUACCGCGAGGUGGAGCCAAUCUCAAAAAGCCGGUCUCAGUUCGGAUUGGAGUCUGCAACUCGACUCCAUGAAGUUGGAAUCGCUAGUAAUCGCGGAUCAGCACGCCGCGGUGAAUACGUUCCCGGGCCUUGUACACACCGCCCGUCACACCACGGGAGUCGGUUGGUCCCGAAGUGCGUGAGCUAACCCGCAAGGGAGGCAGCGUCCUAAGGAAUGGCCGGUGACUGGGGUGAAGUCGUAACAAGGUAGCCGUAGGGGAACCUGCGGCUGGAUCACCUCCUUU